UACAGAGGGGGCAAGCGUUGUUCGGAAUUACUGGGCGUAAAGGGCGCGUAGGCGGCCUGUUAAGUCGAACGUGAAAUCCCCGGGCUCAAUUUGGGAACUGCGUUUGAUACUGGUAGGCUUGAAUUCGGGAGAGGGAUGUGGAAUUUUAGGUGUAGCGGUGAAAUGCGUAGAUAUCUGGAGGAACACCGGUGGCGAAGGCGGCCUGCUGGGCAGUAGCUGACACUGAGGCGCGACAGCGUGGGGAGCAAACAGG
rnacentral:rRNA from 1 species